rnacentral:sRNA from 1 species
UGUAGUGGAAGGCAGCCUAAAAUCGCCGCGUCCUGCGGCAACGGCUGCCUGACUCACUUCGUGUGAG